GCAAACUUGGUCAUUUAGAGGAAGUAAAAGUCGUAACAAGGUUUCCGUAGGUGAACCUGCGGAAGGAUCAUUAUUGAAUAAAUCUGGCGUGGUUGUAGCUGGCUCUCAGGAGCAAGUGCUCGCCCGUCACCUUUAUCUUUCCACCUGUGCACACACUGUAGUCCUGGAUACCUCUCGCCGAAAGGCGGAUGCGGAGGCUGCUGAGCUCGCAAGAGCCAAGCUUCCUCUGAAUUUCCAGGUCUAUGAUUUUUACACACCCCAAACGAAUGUCUUAGAAUGUUUUCAUAAGGCCUUGUGCCUAUAAACCUAUACAACUUUCAGCAACGGAUCUCUUGGCUCUCGCAUCGAUGAAGAACGCAGC
rnacentral:misc_RNA from 1 species